AUCUUCUCAUUGAGCUCUAUCCUGUCUGCAACAUAUGGAUUCGCACGAGAAGAAUAUUAAUGUACUUAUGUGACCUGUAUCGUUGCCUUUGAAUACGAUGGCAUGAAAUGGUCUGUGCAAUAUGA
rnacentral:snoRNA from 1 species